rnacentral:rRNA from 1 species
UACGGAGGGUGCAAGCGUUGCUCGGAAUUAUUGGGCGUAAAGGGUAGGUAGGUGGUCUCAUUUGUCUGGGGUGAAAUCCUUGGGCUUAACCCAAGAAGUGCCCCGGAAACGGUGAGACUAGAGUCCUGGAGAGGGUCGUGGAAUUCCCGGUGUAGCGGUGAAAUGCGUAGAGAUCGGGAGGAACACCAGAGGCGAAGGCGGCGACCUGGACAGGUACUGACACUCAACUACGAAAGCGUGGGGAGCAAACAGG